rnacentral:rRNA from 1 species
CAGCAGCCGCGGUAAUACGUAGGGUGCAAGCGUUAAUCGGAAUUACUGGGCGUAAAGCGUGCGCAGGCGGUUAUAUAAGACAGAUGUGAAAUCCCCGGGCUCAACCUGGGAACUGCAUUUGUGACUGUAUAGCUAGAGUACGGCAGAGGGGGAUGGAAUUCCGCGUGUAGCAGUGAAAUGCGUAGAUAUGCGGAGGAACACCAAUGGCGAAGGCAAUCCCCUGGGCCUGUACUGACGCUCAUGCACGAAAGCGUGGGGAGCAAACAGGAUUAGAUACCCCGGUAGUCCCUGUCUCUUAUAC